rnacentral:rRNA from 1 species
GACGAACGCUGGCGGCGUGCUUAACACAUGCAAGUCGAACGGAAAGGCCUCUUUUGGGGGGUACUCGAGUGGCGAACGGGUGAGUAACACGUGAGUAACCUGCCCUUGACUUUGGGAUAACUUCAGGAAACUGGGGCUAUUACCGGAUAGGAGCUCCUGCUGCAUGGUGGGGGUUGGAAAGUUUCGGCGGUUGGGGAUGGACUCGCGGCUUAUCAGCUUGUUGGUGGGGUAGUGGCUUACCAAGGCUUUGACGGGUAGCCGGCCUGAGGGGGUGACCGGCCACAUUGGGACUGAGGUACGGCCCAGGCUCCGACGGGAGGCGGCAGUGGGGAAUAUUGCACAAUGGGUGGAAGCCUGAUGCAGCAACGCCGUGGGCGGGAGGACGGCCUUCGGGUUGUAAACCGCUUUCGCUCAUGACGAAGCUUUGUGUGACGGUAGUGGGUAAAGAAGCACCGGCUAACUACGUG